rnacentral:rRNA from 1 species
CCUACGGGAGGCAGCAGUAGGGAAUAUUGCUCAAUGGGGGAAACCCUGAAGCAGCAACGCCGCGUGGAGGAUGAAGGUUUUCGGAUUGUAAACUCCUUUUGUUAGAGAAGAUAAUGACGGUAUCUAACGAAUAAGCACCGGCUAACUCCGUGCCAGCAGCCGCGGUAAUACGGAGGGUGCAAGCGUUACUCGGAAUCACUGGGCGUAAAGAGCGCGUAGGCGGGAUAGCAAGUCAGAUGUGAAAUCCUAGGGCUUAACCAUAGAACUGCAUUUGAAACUGUUAUUCUAGAGUAUGGGAGAGGAAGGUGGAAUGCGUGGUGUAGGGGUAAAAUCCGUAGAGAUCAAGAGGAAGACCCAUUGCGAAGGCGACCUGCUAGAACAUAACUGACGCUGAUGCGCGAAAGCGUGGGGAGCAAACAGGAUGAGAUACCCCAGUAGUC